rnacentral:rRNA from 1 species
GUGGAUUAGAUACCCUGGUAGUCCACGCCGUAAACGAUGGAUACUAGCUGUUGGGCGCAAGUUCAGUGGCUAAGCGAAAGUGAUAAGUAUCCCACCUGGGGAGUACGUUCGCAAGAAUGAAACUCAAAGGAAUUGACGGGGGCCCGCACAAGCGGUGGAGCAUGUGGUUUAAUUCGAUGAUACGCGAGGAACCUUACCAAGGCUUAAAUGUAGUUUGACCGAUUUGGAAACAGAUCUUUCGCAAGACAAAUUACAAGGUGCUGCACGGUCGUCGCCAACU